rnacentral:rRNA from 1 species
GACGAACGCUGGCGGCGUGCUUAACACAUGCAAGUCGAACGGUAAGGCCUUUCGGGGUACACGAGUGGCGAACGGGUGAGUAACACGUGGGUGAUCUGCCCUGCACUUCGGGAUAAGCCCGGGAAACUGGGUCUAAUACCGGAUAGGACUGCGCGGUGCAUGCCGUGUGGUGGAAAGAUUUAUCGGUGCAGGAUGGGCCCGCGGCCUAUCAGCUUGUUGGUGGGGUAAUGGCCUACCAAGGCGACGACGGGUAGCCGGCCUGAGAGGGCGACCGGCCACCCUGGGACUGAGACACGGCCCAGACUCCUACGGGAGGCAGCAGUGGGGAAUAUUGCACAAUGGGCGCAAGCCUGAUGCAGAGACGCCGCGUGAGGGAUGACGGCCUUCGGGUUGUAAACCUCUUUCAGCAGGGACGAAGCGUGAGUGACGGUACCUGCAGAAGAAGCACCGGCCAACUACGUG